rnacentral:rRNA from 1 species
AAGCGUUGUUCGGAUUUAUUGGGCGUAAAGCGCGUGUAGGCGGCUUCUUAAGUCUGAUGUGAAAGCCCUGGGCUCAACCCGGGAAGUGCAUUGGAAACUGGGAAACUUGAAUACGGGAGAGGGUAGUGGAAUUCCUGGUGUAGGAGUGAAAUCCGUAGAUAUCAGGAGGAACACCGGUGGCGAAGGCGGCUACCUGGACCGAUACUGACGCUGAGACGCGAAAGCGUGGGGAGCAAACAGGAUUAGAUACCCUGGUAGUCCACGCCGUAAACGAUGAGAACUAGGUGUUGCGGGUAUUGACCCCUGCAGUGCC